CACGUAGGGUGCGAGCGUUGUCCGGAAUUAUUGGGCGUAAAGAGCUCGUAGGCGGUGUGUCGCGUCUGCUGUGAAAACCUAAGGCUCAACCUUGGGCUUGCAGUGGGUACGGGCAGACUAGAGUGCGGUAGGGGUGACUGGAAUUCCUGGUGUAGCGGUGGAAUGCGCAGAUAUCAGGAGGAACACCGAUGGCGAAGGCAGGUCACUGGGCCGCAACUGACGCUGAGGAGCGAAAGCAUGGGGAGCGAACAGG
rnacentral:rRNA from 1 species